UUGAGUGCAGAAGAGGACAGUGGAACUCCAUGUGUAGUGGUGAAAUGCGUAGAUAUAUGGAAGAACACCAGUGGCGAAGGCGGCUGUCUGGUCUGUAACUGACGCUGAGGCUCGAAAGUAUGGGUAGCAAACAGGAUUAGAUACCCUGGUAGUCCAUACCGUAAACGAUGAAUGCUAAGUGUUGGAGGGUUUCCCCCUUCAGUGCUGCAGCUAACGCAUUAAGCAUUCCGCCUGGGGAGUACGGCCGCAAGGCUGAAACUCAAAGGAAUUGACGGGGGCCCGCACAAGCGGUGGAGCAUGUGGUUUAAUUCGAAGCUACGCGAAGAACCUUACCAGGUCUUGACAUACUAUGCAAAUCUAAGAGAUUAGACGUUCCCUUCGGGGACAUGGAUACAGGUGGUGCAUGGUUGUCGUCAGCUCGUGUCGUGAGAUGUUGGGUUAAGUCCCGCAACGAGCGCAACCCUUAUUAUCAGUUGCCAGCAUUAAGUUGGGCACUCUGGUGAGACUGCCGGUGACAAACCGGAGGAAGGUGGGGAUGACGUCAAAUCAUCAUGCCCCUUAUGACCUGGGCUACACACGUGCUACAAUGGAUGGUACAACGAGUUGCGAACUCGCGAGAGUAAGCUAAUCUCUUAAAGCCAUUCUCAGUUCGGAUUGUAGGCUGCAACUCGCCUACAUGAAGUCGGAAUCGCUAGUAAUCGCGGAUCAGCAUGCCGCGGUGAAUGCGUUCCCGGGCCUUGUACACACCGCCCGUCACACCAUGAGAGUUUGUAACACCCAAAGUCGGUGGGGUAACCUUUAGGAACCAGCCGCCUAAGGUGGGACAGAUGAUUAGGGUGAAGUCGUAACAAGGUAACCA
rnacentral:rRNA from 1 species